UAUAAAAUGGUUGUGGGUGCCAUGUACAGAUCAGGAGUGACUCUGUGUUGAAGCUUGAGUUGAUGUCUCAGCACCAAGGGCUGUGCACCCCUUUACUGAAUGUCCCCAGAUGCCCCUCAAGGUCCCCUUUCCCUCAGCAGGGACAUAACCUGGUGGUUUUGGUUAUUCCCUCGUUGGAGCCCUUGACUCUCCAUCUCACUUCUCUCAAGAGCUGCAUGACAAACCCAGCAGUUCCAGCCUAUUUUGGCGACCACUUGCUCCAGGAACCUCAGGAGUUUCAUCAAAAGCCUGGAUGGAUUUCGGGUCUCGGGUUUUAUUCAUUCCAGCAUUGGCUGACAAAGCCCAUUACAUCAUCCCUUUGGAAGAGAAAUUCUCUGCAGCUGCCUGUGUGGCGCGGGGGGUGGGGGGUGUUUAAAAAAUAACACAGAUUUUUGUUUCUUUCUUUCUUUCAGGGCAAUUUUCCUCCCAAUUGCUGGAAAACUGAAUGCUAAAAAGCUUCACAAGUGGGAAGGAAAAGGGCAGUGUGCAGCAGUUCCAGCCAUUCCUGGGUUUAUUAGUAUUAUUAUUUCCUUUCCAAAGACCAAGGGGGGAAAAAUAGCCCCAUUACCCCGCGCAUCCAGCGCGCCCAGCCAGCCGUGAAAAGCAAAGCAAAGCCAGUGUCAUGGCAAUGGCAGAUGGCACAGAGCGGGAAUGGGAGCGGGAAUGGAGCGGGAACGGGAGCGGGAGAGGGAGGGAGGGCUCCGGCCCCGACCUCGGCGCGGACCGCGCUCCUAAUUAGCCCCGGAGCAGGGACUAAUUAAACCCGGAGGUAAGACAAGUGAUUACUUUUCCUUGCAGAGAUGGGGUGCAGGAGUGACGUGGACGGAGCCGGAGCCGGUGUUGGAGUCGUCCUGACAUCAAUGGGAGGGAGUGCUGCAGCCUGGUUUGUUUUCCACAUGUUCAAGAAAGACAAAACAAUGCUUUCAAGAGUCUUGAUGCAUCUCAUGAGCCUCUGGUCUCCCUAAAUCCCUCCCUCAGGUCUCAGCUCCCAGGAUUUCUCCAAUAUCUGCUUGAAACCUGCACCAAGAGCACAGCGUCACUCUCAGUGGGAUUUUUCCAUGCCUCAUUUCAGGAUGCACUGUGUCUCCCAUGGGAAUGUUCUUCAGCCAUUCCAGAGGCAUCCUGGAGUCAGCAAGGACAAACCCCCAAACACAAGGGCAUGGGGGGCUGGCAGAGUCCACAGGCAGCAGCAAAGUCAAGAUGGAAGAUGGGUUUGGAAGAAAGUCAAGGUCUGAAAGGUGUUACCUGCAACAACCUCAGUCAGCAAGCAGGAAGAAGGAGCAAAGAGAGGAAAAAAUGAAGGGACUGAGAUCUGCUGGCUGCACAGAGCAGGAGGGAGAAGGGUGUCCAGAGACAUCAGGAAACACAUGGAGAGAGGAGGAUCCUCCACAGGAAAUGGCAGAUCCUCCAGACUUCAAGGACAAUGUGGAGAACAAACAGGAGAAGCUUUUUUCCACCUCUACACCAUAUUCCACACUUACACCAUUAUAAUCCAGGGAUAACAAAGAAAACCUCAGGGAAAUAAGGAUGAUGGCACAGUUCUGGCCAUGUGCCUUCACAGCUUCACCUCCCACCUGUGGUGGUUUUCCAGCAGAAACUCAACCACACAGAACUUGGGGACGUCAUAAACUCUUAAUAGACUUUUAUUGGUGUAAGAGAAAUGAAAGGGAACAGCCAACAGGGCAAGAACUUGCAGGUGUUGAAAACCACCUCACUGGAAAUUAAAUUAAAUUAAAUUAGUCCUUUGAUU